AUUUAAAACCAUGAAGAACCACACUCCAUACCAGUCGGUGGCGGUAAUGCACAUCUCAAAGUUAUUUGCCAACCGCCAAAAAACUACAAGAAGAAGAAGAAGCUCCCCAUCUCCGGUGUUAGAGCCGCUUUACUGCAGCUGUCUGUGGGCUGCAGCUCCCGUUUAAUAACGAGACGAAGACAUGCAGCAGCUUUGGCUUCCGGUCCGACAUAACAUGGUGCUUGGUAGGAAACCCCAGAGACAGGAGCUCUGUUGCGUAGCUGCUGAAGCAUCCGUACCUCUGGCUGAAGCCACGUUGACUCCUGAACCAGGUACAGAUAAGGAAAGUAAAGUCAUUGACGAUGUUUGUUGCCAACACCACGCAUUGUCUUCAGUCCAAUAAGCAACCAUAAGAGGAUCCUAACAGAACUGGCAACCUCUCAGUCUACGAGCAGCAGCAUCUUCUGAGCAGCUGAUAAUUUGGCCAGAACUGUACAGCAGCAGAAGAGGCUGGAUGUCACAGAGUGUACAAAGACCAAUCACAUCCUGUUUCUGCUCACAUGCUCGUCCUCAGCUGCAGUUCACUCCACCCACUACCCUCUCCAUGUCAGAGAAGGAAGUCAACAGACUGUUGAAGAGGCAGAAAGUUUCAGUGGCCACAAACAGAUAACAUGUAGCAGAAAAUCCUAUAGUGAUUGGAAAAAAACGUCUCCAACCGCCUGCUGAACUUGCAGCCACUGUGGCAUGUCAGUGGAGUUCUGCUGCUCCAAAAACUCUGGAGCGUAUGGAGCCAGAAAAUGGUCAAAAUUAUUGUAUGCAGUAUUUGAAAAAAAAACUUGUUGAAAUUGAAAAAAUAAAUGUUGAAACUUAUGUCAAAUUUUGAUUUUGAGAUCUAAAAUAAAAAGAAGUUAAACAAA